rfam:Crassostrea gigas strain 05x7-T-G4-1.051#20 contig12781, whole genome shotgun sequence.
ACACAAUGAUGUUUGAAUUUCUUCACCUGAAAUCUCAUGUGGAUUUCUGUUUACGAGCUUUUUAACUCUGAGUGUC